CGCGUAAAGAACUUGCCUCACAGCUAGGGACAACAUUUAGAAAUGAAUGCUAAUACCUGAUAUUAUGAUUUUAAGGCAUCUUAGAAUUAUGAAAGCUAUAAGCACUGUGAGAGAGCUUUGCGUCCCAUUAGCUAGUUGGAGAGGUAACAGCUCACCAAGGCGAUGAUGGGUAGCCGGCCUGAGAGGGUGAACGGCCACAAGGGGACUGAGACGCGGCCCUU
rnacentral:rRNA from 1 species